GAGUUCGAGUUGGAUAUGCGAACGUAUCAGUACUAGGCUGACGAAAAUGGCGGAUUGUACGGUUUUUAACCAGCAUUGCGUCGCUUGAAGUGCUUUAUUAAAUUUUUGCAAUUUUUGUGUGAAAAUGUGAUAAUGAUGAAUUAAAACCUGUUGUGUAGUGUUUUUUGAGUGUUAAUAAAAAUGUGUCGGACAGAAAUGUUUCGUUUCGGCGUCGGGAACUGGAUAUUUUUGCUGAGUUUUGUAUUUUUGUUUACGUACACCCAAGGUAAAAUCGAUAUCAUCAAUUAUUAUUACUAAAUUCAUAAUGGUUC
rnacentral:misc_RNA from 1 species